GGCAAGGUAGCUCAAUUGGUAGAGCAAUAUAAAGAGCGAGAGUCAUGGUCGUGACUCCUACAGCAAUUAUUCUUCCAUUCAAAACGGUAUUUGUUGAUGGUUCGAAUCCAUCCCUUGCCA
rnacentral:tRNA from 1 species